rnacentral:rRNA from 1 species
UAGGGAAUCUUCGGCAAUGGACGAAAGUCUGACCGAGCAACGCCGCGUGAGCGAUGAAGGCCUUCGGGUCGUAAAGCUCUGUUGUUAGGGAAGAACAAGUACCGUUCGAAUAGGGCGGUACCUUGACGGUACCUAACCAGAAAGCCACGGCUAACUACGUGCCAGCAGCCGCGGUAAUACGUAGGUGGCAAGCGUUGUCCGGAAUUAUUGGGCGUAAAGCGCGCGCAGGCGGUCUCUUAAGUCUAAUGUGAAAGCCCACGGCUCAACCGUGGAGAGCCAUUGGAAACUGGGGGACUUGAGUACUGGAGAGGAGAGUGGAAUUCCAUGUGUAGCGGUGAAAUGCGUAGAUAUAUGGAGGAACACCAGUGGCGAAGGCGGGCUCUCUGGCCAGUAACUGACGCUGAGGCGCGAAAGCGUGGGGAGCAAACAGGAUUAGAUACCCUGGUAGUCCACGCCGUAAACGAUGAGUGCUAGGUGUUGGGGGGUU